GUCGUCUAGCCUGGUAGGACGCCGCCCUUACGAGGCGGAGGUCCGGGGUUCGAAUCCCC
rnacentral:tRNA from 1 species